CGUAACCGCAACGGUUCGCGGAGGGGGGAGAGAGAAAAGUGUAGGGUGCUCGUCGGAGCUUGGGCGUCAACCUUGGUUGAGCCGCCGCCGGCCGCCGCUUUCAUCCGUCGAGUUCGCUGCUCCGUCGGAGGAUAGAGAGGGGCACCGGUUCUUCUCUGAGAACUCGUCGGCGACCGUAGCACGGCAAGGAACGUCCCUAAACCAGGUAGGCCCCCGCUUGGCUUUAUUAAGUUUUGUAAAUUUUUGUGUCAGCGAUGAAUGUCCGACGAAUUUAGUCGAAGAUGAGGCUGUUUUGUAAUGAUUUAUGUUGGGUUAGACGUUGAUCCAUCUCGCCAAAGUCAAGCGCCCUAAUGAAGUUACUUCUGAAAUCCAUAGUCGAUACUGCAUACUGUGUGUUCGAUGAAAUGAGAAACCCCGAAAUAUAUUUUGUCCGAUCGGCGUUUGAAGCUCAGUUUAAUAUUUGAUUAUUCAUAUGUCGUUGAAAUUCUUCUGAUUUCUUACUUUUGAUGUGCUUUCAUGUGACUUCGCAUCGUCCGAGCCGGUCUUGCAUACGCCCCUUCGCCGGAGCUAGCCUCCCCACGCCUGCGAGCCCUACGGUUCAAGGCCGUUCGAGUGUUCUUCAACUUGGGCACCUUUUCCAGCCACAUCAUUAAUUAUUUCUUCCCCAAUGUCAAGCUAAAGCUCGAGUGAUUAGUUAUACUCGGCUCAGCCGCACUCUCCUCACAACUUAUCGUCAUCGGGAUCUUUGCUAUAUUGGAAUUCCCCUAGUGGCUCAUCAUGUGGCAUUGCUUGGAUUCCACGAGGUGUGUCCUCAACAUGAUCUUUGACGAGGACGUCGAACUUCAACUUGCCGAUAUUAAAGGGGCUAUCGACAUCAUGGAGAAUCAUCGAGCUGACCUGGUAGAGAAGGAGAAAAUGUUGGAUCUCUUCCAACCAACCCGAUCGGUUUGCCACCUACUAAUUUGCAGUAUUGUCAUGCACUUAUUCAAACAAGCUUCCAACAUUGAAACCAUCCUACAAAACUCAUAGAUUUUUGAGAUGCCAGGUAUCUUGGACUCCUAUAGAAAGCUCCUUGGCAUAAUCAUGGUUGACUUCGUAAAAAUAUCGAACAUGCUCUAUCGCACUUUCCACCUUAACCACAUCGAGCGGCGGUCAUUGAUGAUAUUAAGCAUAGUUGGGUUGAUGACUUCUCAAUACAUUUUCCCACGAGCUCUGGGGAGAACCAUUGGCUUCUUUGUGAACUUAGUGGCGAAUGAGGUCUUAUGGGCAAUAUUCUUAUGGGUGUGCAAGAAAUUCACCUUUGGUUGGGCAGCCUUUUCUAUAUGCAACUAUUGCAAGCAUCAUUUUUAUUUUUUAUUUACUUUUUCUCUCAUUUUGGCCAUGGACUAUGUAUGAAUCCAUAUUUGGUCAAAUUGGUGGGCAAUACUACUUAAAUUUUGGUUUGGACUUUCAAAUCGAUACUUGAACGAUCAAAUAUUAAAAAACAAAUGCGAAAACGAGCCAGGAAACAUAUAACAGCAAUCGAAGGCAUAUCACGGAGAUUGACAUACCUUACCACAAAUUAAGUACCAUUCUAGUCUCGAAAUGAAUCCUUUGAAGCCUUGAAGUUCCGUUGUUCAAGAGGGUUUGCCAUAACCAAGAGCAUUGUUUUCCCCCCAGUACGUAUAGGUAUUUGCCAACAAAAUCUAGCUAUGUUAGUUAAAAGAAGAAAGUGAUUUUUGUGAAAGGAAUCACAAUUAUAGAUUGUUUGAUGCUGUGGUAACACUCUUGCUGGGAGUUGCUACCAGAAGUGAAGGGAAGCGCCUUAAUGGUAGCAAGGUGUUUAAAAUAGUGUAGUCGUAAGCGUGCCUGAUGUAUUUCUUCAUAACAUUUGAAAGCUGUUAGAUUAGAUAUCUGAUGGUUUGCCACAUCCGUAAGCAUUGUUUUCCCCUAAUCGAUAUAUUUUCCAAAACGCUGACCAAUGUCCUUCAGCUUCAAACCCUUUGUCUUGGGCAUAAUUAUGUAGAACAAAAUCAAAAAGAUAUUUGCAAUAGUUGCAUAUAAAAAGGCAGCAAAUGUGAAUUUCUUGCACACCCACGCCGAGGAGACCUCAUUUGCUGUCAAGUUCACAGCGAAGCCAAUGGUCGUCCCUAGGCUCAUAAUCUUAGGAGAAGACUUUAGAGCUAUAUAUUUGUUGACACUCGAAUUUUUGUUG